GACGAACGCUGGCGGCGUGCCUAAUACAUGCAAGUUGAGCGAUGAAGAUUGGUGCUUGCACCAAUUUGAAGAGCAGCGAACGGGUGAGUAACGCGUGGGGAAUCUGCCUUUGAGCGGGGGACAACAUUUGGAAACGAAUGCUAAUACCGCAUAACAACUUUAAACAUAAGUUUUAAGUUUGAAAGAUGCAAUUGCAUCACUCAAAGAUGAUCCCGCGUUGUAUUAGCUAGUUGGUGAGGUAAAGGCUCACCAAGGCGAUGAUACAUAGCCGACCUGAGAGGGUGAUCCGCCACAUUGGGACUGAGACACGGCCCAAACUCCUACGGGAGGCAGCAGUAGGGAAUCUUCGGCAAUGGACGAAAGUCUGACCGAGCAACGCCGCGGGAGUGAAGAAGGUUUUCGGAUCGUAAAACUCUGUUGGUAGAGAAGAACGUUGGUGAGAGUGGAAAGCUCAUCAAGUGACGGUAACUACCCAGAAAGGGACGGCUAACUACGUG
rnacentral:rRNA from 1 species